CCGUGCUAGGCGGGGAGCUGGCGGUGCCCUGCACCCGCAAUCCGCCAUAGCGGGGCCGAAUUCCCGCUCGAGGCCCGGGGCUGUGGAGGCUACCGUCGGCCAGAGGCGUCGAUGGUCGGGUCCUGCGCGGCGGGGCGCCACGAACCCCGUCAGGCCCGGAAGGGAGCAGCGGUAAGUGGUGGCCUCGGGCGCCGCAGGUCGGCCUGGCCGGAGCCGGCCACCGGCGGCAAGGCCGUAGCGCCGGGUCGAAAGCGGGUGCACGG
rnacentral:SRP_RNA from 1 species